GAUGAAGAACGCAGCGAAAUGCGAUACGUAAUGUGAAUUGCAAAUUCAGUGAAUCAUCGAGUCUUUGAACGCACAUUGCGCCCCCUGGUAUUCCGGGGGGCAUGCCUGUCCGAGCGUCAUUGCUGCCCUCAAGCACGGCUUGUGUGUUGGGCCCCGUCCUCCGAUCCCGGGGGACGGGCCCGAAAGGCAGCGGCGGCACCGCGUCCGGUCCUCGAGCGUAUGGGGCUUUGUCACCCGCUCUGUAGGCCCGGCCGGCGCUUGCCGAUCAACCCUAAUUUUUAUCCAGGUUGACCUCGGAUCAGGUAGGGAUACCCGCUGAACUUAAGCAUAUCAAUAAGCGGAGGA
rnacentral:misc_RNA from 1 species